CCCCAGCUCCCUAUUUCAAAGCCCGGUCAGCCCAUUCCAUUUGCCUUUAAUGAAUUAAACCGAUCUCUCUUGAAAUCCAUGUCAUGCUUUACCCUUUACCUUUGUACUGGAGUCCUAUGAGUCCAUUUGAAGCGGGGGAUCCAAUCUCAGGCAGGCCUGACGCCUUAUAUAUGGGUGCAAAGUGAGUCUGAACCAGAAGCAGAGAGACAGAGAGAUGAGAGGGUGAUGCUGAGCGAUCCUACAGGACAGGGGGCGCCCACGGAAGAGAGGCGGGGGGCGUGAACUACAAACAGAAGAAGACAGUGGAGUUUGUGGUGAACACGCGCAGAGUUUUCUUGUGGACUGAAAAAAUGCUGUGGUAAUGUAAGCAAUGAACAAGAUUAAACGAACCCAUCAAAUUA